UUAAGGAACACCGCGGCAUGGUUUUGAGAGCAGCGGCUGAAUGGCGUCUGCAUGGCUGAUAUGAGUUUGGGCGGCUAAAACAGUGAACGAAGUACGAUAUAUCCGUAUAAACUGACAAACUGACAAGGAGAAAUACAGGAGAGACCUCGGUACACGUCUGUUUUCGAGCAGUUCACAAGCUGAGGGAAGGAGUCUGCAGAUAACCCAG